rnacentral:rRNA from 1 species
UACGGAGGGUGCAAGCGUUAUCCGGAAUCACUGGGCGUAAAGCGUCUGUAGGUGGUGAUGCAAGUCACUGGUGCAAAACUCUGGCUCAACCGGAGGAAAGCCAGUGAAACUGCAUGACUAGAGUGUGGGAGAGGUAGAAGGAAUUCCCUGAGUAGCGGUGAAAUGCGUAGAUACAGGGAAGAACACCGGAGGCGAAAGCGUUCUACUGGAACACAACUGACACUGAGAGACGAAAGCUAGGGGAGCGAAUGGG